UUUAUUGGAGAGUUUGAUCCUGGCUCAGGAUGAACGCUGGCGGCGUGCCUAAUACAUGCAAGUCGAGCGAAUGGAUUAAGAGCUUGCUCUUAUGAAGUUAGCGGCGGACGGGUGAGUAACACGUGGGUAACCUGCCCAUAAGACUGGGAUAACUCCGGGAAACCGGGGCUAAUACCGGAUAACAUUUUGAACUGCAUGGUUC
rnacentral:rRNA from 1 species